CUGGCCAUGUGUAGCUUUAGCUGUGCUGAGGGCAGUGGAAUGCAGUCUGAUGAUUACCAGGGAGCCCAGAGACUAAAGCUUCCGUAAUGGCUCCACCGACUGACCGUGGUGCAGCUGGGCAGGCUUCUGAAUGUGCUUAAAGUCCUAUAUUUAGGAAGGGCUCCAUGCAACAUCUGGGUUGCUGUGUGGCUGCUGGGGAACAGCACAUACAGAACUGGACUCAAAGCUCAGAAUGCUAAUUGAGAAACAGCCUGGUGUUUAGUUCCGAAGUCAAGGGGAAAGCAAUGUGGGAGGAGAUAUCUCCAGGUGCAAGAUGGCUCAGUGAGACCACGUUUUAGCCUUGGCACUGACUCAAUUAGAAGGUGGGCGUCUACUUCCUGAAAACACUGCACCCAAUACUGACAGGACGCUGAGAAAGAAAACGAUGUUCGAGAACCGCAAGAUAAUCCUCUCACUGUUCUUGACGUUGGUGGGGCUUUUCCAUUAUAUUCCUGUUGAAUCAUUGCAUUCUAACUUUAAGAGAGAUUAGUGAAGGGGAGAAUAAGAGAAUGAAAAUAACUAGAGAUUUGAAAAUGGGGCUUAGGAACCAGGUUACAACACACAAUCGUGACUUGGGGAAGAUCACGUACCCGCACAACAGUUAACUUGCAGUAGAAGCGUACUGUGAAUCAGAUGGGAAAUCAGCUCCAAGACAGGACAGUUGAAAAUUAACCUGGGAAAAACAAGGCCUCUUGUUUUUCCAGAAACUUGAACAAAUAAGAUAUAGCCUUUAAAAUAAAGGGCAUUUUUAGUACAGGAAAAAUAGAUAAGGAAGUUGUUUUUGAUCCUUCUCAAAAAUUCUUUCAUCUUUUCACUGUGAUUUGUAGGUCAGUGGGAGGGAUUCUGUCCUUGGGUCUUUUCUGAUUUUCAGCAAUAAAACAUUAAGAUUCUUUCUUUGGGGUGUCUUCUACUUUCCAGCUUACUCCCUCUGGCACUUCCUACAGUCCUUUGCUCUUUGUAGCCCCAGCUGACUACUGAUUGGUAGCACUAUCCGUUCUCUAUCUUUUGUCCUGUUGGCCUCUCCCUUUCUUUGGGCAUGCACGCACACGUGUCUGGCAUGAGUUUUAAGCUACUGGGUCUGGGAUUUGA